rnacentral:rRNA from 1 species
CCUACGGGAGGCAGCAGUGAGGGAUAUUGGUCAAUGGGGGAAACCCUGAAGCAGCAACGCCGCGUGAGGGAAGACGGUUUUCGGAUUGUAAACCUCUGUCAUCAGUGAAGAUAAUGACGGUAGCUGAGGAAGAAGCUCCGGCUAACUACGUGCCAGCAGCCGCGGUAAUACGUAGGGAGCAAGCGUUGUCCGGAUUUACUGGGUGUAAAGGGUGCGUAGGCGGCUGUGCAAGUCAGAUGUGAAAUCCAGGGGCUUAACCCCGGGACUGCAUUUGAAACUGUAGGGCUUGAGUGAAGUAGAGGCAGGCGGAAUUCCCGGUGUAGCGGUGAAAUGCGUAGAGAUCAGGAGGAACACCAGUGGCGAAGGCGGCCUGCUGGACGUUGACUGACGUUGAGGCACGAAAGCGUGGGUAGCAAACAGGAUUAGAUACCCGUGUAGUC